UACGUAGGGUGCGAGCGUUGUCCGGAAUUACUGGGCGUAAAGCGUGCGCAGGCGGUUUUGUAAGUCUGUUGUGAAAUCCCCGGGCUCAACCUGGGAAUGGCAAUGGAGACUGCAAGGCUAGAGUUUGGCAGAGGGGGGUAGAAUUCCACGUGUAGCAGUGAAAUGCGUAGAUAUGUGGAGGAACACCGAUGGCGAAGGCAGCCCCCUGGGUCAAAACUGACGCUCAUGCACGAAAGCGUGGGGAGCAAACAGG
rnacentral:rRNA from 1 species